rnacentral:rRNA from 1 species
GACGAACGCUGGCGGCGUGCUUAACACAUGCAAGUCGAACGGUAAGGCCCUUCGGGGUACACGAGUGGCGAACGGGUGAGUAACACGUGGGUGAUCUGCCCUGCACUUCGGGAUAAGCCUGGGAAACUGGGUCUAAUACCGGAUAGGACCACUGCAUGCAUGGGUGGUGGUGGAAAGGUUUUGCGGUGUGGGAUGGGGCCGCGGCCUAUCAGCUUGUUGGUGGGGUGAUGGCCUACCAAGGCGACGACGGGUAGCCGGCCUGAGAGGGUGACCGGCCACACUGGGACUGAGAUACGGCCCAGACUCCUACGGGAGGCAGCAGUGGGGAAUAUUGCACAAUGGGCGCAAGCCUGAUGCAGCGACGCCGCGUGAGGGAUGACGGCCUUCGGGUUGUAAACCUCUUUCAGCACCGACGAAGCGCAAGUGACGGUAUGUGCAGAAGAAGGACCGGCCAACUACGUGCCAGCCGCCGCAGUAA